rnacentral:rRNA from 1 species
UACGGAGGGUGCAAGCGUUGUCCGGAUUUAUUGGGUUUAAAGGGUGCGUAGGCGGCUUUUUAAGUCAGUGGUGAAAUACAGCAGCUCAACUGUUGAGGUGCCAUUGAUACUGAAGAGCUUGAGUACAGAUGAGGUAGGCGGAAUUUAUGGUGUAGCGGUGAAAAUGCAUAGAUAUUGCUCGGAAGGCCGGAGCCGAAGGGGCCCCCACUGGUACGCAACUGACGCUGAGGCACGAAAGCGUGGGGAGCAAACAGG